rnacentral:rRNA from 1 species
GUAGGGAAUAUUGGGCAAUGGUCGGAAGACUGACCCAGCCAUGUCGCGUGCAGGAAGACGGCCCUCUGGGUUGUAAACUGCUUUUAUCUGGGAAGAAAAAGGCCAUGCGUGGCAAAUUGCCGGUACCAGAUGAAUAAGCACCGGCUAACUCCGUGCCAGCAGCCGCGGUAAUACGGAGGGUGCGAGCGUUGUCCGGAUUUAUUGGGUUUAAAGGGUGCGUAGGCGGCUGAUUAAGUCAGCGGUGAAAGACUUCGGCUUAACCGGAGCAGUGCCGUUGAUACUGGUUGGCUUGAGUGUCGGAGGGGUACAUGGAAUUGAUGGUGUAGCGGUGAAAUGCAUAGAUACCAUCAGGAACACCGAUAGCGAAGGCAUUGUACUGGCCGACAACUGACGCUGAUGCACGAAAGUGUGGGGAUCGAACAGGAUUAGAAACCCCUGUAGUCC